rnacentral:rRNA from 1 species
CCGCCCGUCACACCAUGGGAGUUUGUUGCACCAGAAGCAGGUAGCUUAACCGCAAGGAGAGCGCUUGCCACGGUGUGGCCGAUGACUGGGGUGAAGUCGUAACAAAGGUACC